UACGAAGGGGGCUAGCGUUGCUCGGAAUCACUGGGCGUAAAGCGCCCGGAGGCGGACUCUUAAGUCGAGGGUGAAAUCCUGGAGCUCAACUCCAGAACUGCCUUCGAUACUGAGAGUCUUCGAGUUCGGGAGAGGUGAGUGGAACUGCGAGUGUAGAGGUGAAAUUCGUAGAUAUUCGCAAGAACACCCGUGGCGAAGGCGGCUCACUGGCCCGAUACUGACGCUGAGGUGCGAAAGCGUGGGGAGCAAACAGG
rnacentral:rRNA from 1 species